UACGUAGGCAGCAAGCGUUGUUCGGAAUUACUGGGCGUAAAGGGCGCGUAGGCGGCCUGCUAAGUCGGACGUGAAAUCCCUCGGCUCAACCGAGGAACUGCGUCCGAUACUGGUGGGCUUGAAUCCGGGAGAGGGAUGUGGAAUUCCAGGUGUAGCGGUGAAAUGCGUAGAUAUCUGGAGGAACACCGGUGGCGAAGGCGGCAUCCUGGACCGGUAUUGACGCUGAGGCGCGAAAGCUAGGGGAGCAAACGGG
rnacentral:rRNA from 1 species